UAAAGUGCUUAUAGUGCAGGUAA
rnacentral:piRNA from 3 species